rnacentral:rRNA from 1 species
UACGAAGGGGGCUAGCGUUGUUCGGAAUCACUGGGCGUAAAGGGCGCGUAGGCGGCUCAUGAAGGCUGUGGUGAAAGUCCGGGGCUCAACCUCGGAUCGGCCGUGGCGACUCGUGGGCUGGAGCACUGUAGAGGCGGGUGGAAUUCCGGGUGUAGCGGUGGAAUGCGUAGAGAUCCGGAAGAACACCAGUGGCGAAGGCGACACGCUGGGCCGUACCUGACACUGAUGCGCGACAGCAUGGGGAGCAAACAGG